rnacentral:rRNA from 1 species
AUUGAACGCUGGCGGCAGGCCUAACACAUGCAAGUCGAGCGGAUGAAGGGAGCUUGCUCCUGGAUUCAGCGGCGGACGGGUGAGUAAUGCCUAGGAAUCUGCCUUGUAGUGGGGGAUAACGUCCCGAAACGGGCGCUAAUCCCGCAUACGUCCUGAGGUAGAAAGUGGGGGAUCUUCGGACCUCACGCUACCUGAUGAGCCUAGGUCGGAGUUGCUAGCUGGUUAGGUAAAUGCCUACCAAGGCGACAAUCCGUAGCUGGUCUGAGAGGGCGAUCAGGCACACUGGAACAGGGAAACGGUCCCGACCCCGACGGGAGGCAGGAGUAGGGAAAUUUUGGAAAUGGGGGGAAGCCUGACGGAGCAAAGGCGCGUGAGGGAAGAAGGGCUUUCGAUUUUAAAACUCUUUUAUUAUGGAAGAACGGAUGUGAAAGUAACAGUGUACUUUUUGACGGUACCUAAUCAAAAAGCCACGGCUAACUACGUG